AUUGAACGCUGGCGGAAUGCUUUACACAUGCAAGUCGAACGGCAGCACGGACUUCGGUCUGGUGGCGAGUGGCGAACGGGUGAGUAAUGUAUCGGAACGUGCCCAGUCGUGGGGGAUAACGUAGUGAAAAUUACGCUAAUACCGCAUACGAUCUAUGAAUGAAAGCGGGGGAUCGCAAGACCUCGCGCGAUUGGAGCGGCCGAUAUCAGAUUAGGUAGUUGGUGGGGUAAAGGCCCACCAAGCCAACGAUCUGUAGCUGGUCUGAGAGGACGACCAGCCACACUGGAACUGAGACACGGUCCAGACUCCUACGGGAGGCAGCAGUGGGGAAUUUUGGACAAUGGGCGCAAGCCUGAUCCAGCCAUUCCGCGUGCAGGAUGAAGGCCCUCGGGUCGUAAACUGCUUUUGUACAGAACGAAAAGGUUUCUACUAAUACUAGGAGCUCAUGACGGUACUGUAAGAAUAAGCACCGGCUAACUACGUGCCAGCAGCCGCGGUAA
rnacentral:rRNA from 1 species